CAUUGUGGUUAUAAUAUCAAAAUCUAUAUUCAGGGAUCGUCUAAUUUAACUAUCACACAGGAUGGAUACAUAAAUGUUAAAAUUCAUUUAAAGGAUGUGUGUAGAAUGUGGACUUCGGGUCAAAAGAUUUGAAAUAAAUAUCAGAAACAGGGCUCCAGAAAAAUUCCAUGACCUCAUACAAAUAUGCUGCGGAAAAUGACGAAACAGUCUCUGAAGAUCCAUUAUUUAAACUAUUACGCAUCGUUAGUGUUCCUACUAUCUGUCAUACAAUGGUGCAAAGGGUCUAACUAUCCAGCUUGCACGAACAAAACACAACAAUAUGACGGAUAUCCAUACAUACUAGACGAAAAUGAGGGAAGAAUGUGGGGCUAUUGUGGGUUCCCGGAUGUCUCAAAUGACGACGCGAGAUGUGGACGCAGGACGAGAAUUGACUUCGAACGCGAGACGAUAGAGUACUUUGUAUGCGAUCCUGAUUUUAUACUGGGGCCCGAAGAAGCAACCUCCAUAGAUAAUGACAUCAUCAUAUUUAGAGGAGGGACACCAGGGCAGUGCAGAUUCCGAACUGAAAAGCAAAAUUUCACUAUUGCAAUAGCAUUGACGCAGCAGAUGAGGAUGCCAGAUUUACAUGCGGAUGGAACGUGUAUCAAUGAUUGCGGAGAAAUCUACCCUAUAUUGGAUUACGACCUACGUAACAUGACGUCACCGGAAGAUCAGCAGACGAUAGCCAAUCUCUUCGCAGAAAGCCUUAGAAGCAGAUGGAAGGCUGGAGCGUGUGGAAAUGACAUUGUGAUUUUUUAUAACAGAGAAUAUGGUGUUGUAGCUUCGGCUGUCGGUUACGCUUUAGAGUCAACAUUAACAGCUGAUGUGAUUUCUGCAAUACAUCUGGGAGCAAUGGACCUUCUUCAUAAUGGAAACGUAUCAGAGGGACUCGAAUAUAUCGUGAAUGGAUAUUACAAUAAACUACGUGGGUUGACCCCAGCAUACAUUCUGUUAAUGAUGAGCGCCGCCUUUUGGACGUUGUUUGCACUAUUCAUGUUAUUUUUCCUCCAGUUAGGAAACAAUGUGAAUGACACGUGGUCUGAUGGUUAUGCGUUGAGCUAUAUAGGGACAGCGAUUUACUAUAUUUCUUUUGCUUGGAUUUUUAAAGCUUUGUUUAAUUUAAUGGCUUUUGUUGAACAUUUUGCGCAAUGGUGGCACGUGGUUUUUGGAACUCUAGUAGCCAUGGGUCUAAUAGGGUCUGGUGUGGUUUGGAUGAUGUUGUAAAAUGUUGACUCGUUUGUAUCCAGCGAUUCUUUACAUAAAUUCUAUUCGUUUUAACGCAUCUGUUCUCUUCGUUGCUAUUUGCCAAUGUUUAGCUUCAGAAAAUGUACCUCUCCGAAUAUGUUACUUUUAGAUGUAGUCUACAAGGAGUAGGGAUGAAAAAAAGAUGAUUAGUUUUUAUGAAAACAAUUUCAGGAGGGAGGUUACCCGAAGUUUAUGAACAGACGGUGUACUCUUUAAAAAAUAAUUAUCUAUACAAAUUAUGUGACAUUGAUAAAUAGUUUUGUCACUUACGUUUUUCUUUUUCAUUGUUUCGGGUCAUGUAUUUUUGGAUAAACAAAUAAUUUUGUUUUAAAGUUACAUACCUCCUUUCAAGAAUACAUAUCGUACAUUGGCUGGUGAUAGCACAAUUAAACCUUCAUUAAGUAAGCAUUUUUACUGAGUUUCAAAAAAGUCUUCAGAGCAUUUUAUGAAAUGCAGUUCUACACAACAUCAAGAUUCUAUUUCACCAGUAUUCCUCUCAUUGCUUGCCCAACAUAUCCUCAAGAGAAUAAUGUAUUGGCAAUACCAUUUUCAGAGAAAAUGUAAAUUUAUUUAGUCUCUGGCUUAAUAUGUGUACUGAUCGAAACAAGCAAUGACUUAUUGUUUGUAUAGAGUGAAUUCGUUCAUUGAUA
rnacentral:misc_RNA from 1 species